GGCGAACGGGUGAGUAAUGCAUAGAUAACUUGCCCCUGAGAUGGGGAUAACGUUUCGAAAGGAACGCUAAUACUCAAUGUCGUCUUGGCGCUUAGGCGUCAAGAUGAAAGGAGGCCUCUGAUUUAAGCUUCCGCUCAGGGAGAGGUUUAUGUCCUAUUAGCUUGUUGGUGAGGUAAAGGCUCACCAAGGCUGCGAUGGGUAGCCGGCCUGAGAGGGUGACCGGCCACAUUGGGACUGAGACACUGCCCAAACUCCUACGGGAGGCUGCAGUCGAGAAUCUUCCGCAAUGCGCGCAAGCGUGACGGAGCGACGCCGCGUGGGUGACGAAGGCCUUCGGGUUGUAAAGCCCUGUCAGUAACUAGGAAUUGCAGGCGGUGAAUAAUUGUCCUGUUUGACCAGGUUGCAGAGGAAGCACCGGCUAAAUACGUGCCAGCAGCCGCGGUAACACGUAUGGUGCAAACGUUGUUCGGAAUCACUGGGCCUAAAGAGCGCGUAGGCGGUUUGGUAAGUCACGUGUGAAAUCCCUCGGCUCAACCGAGGAACUGCACCUGAUACUGCCUGACUAGAGUGCAGGAGGGGAGAGUGGAAUUCCU
rnacentral:rRNA from 1 species